CACGUAGGGCGCAAGCGUUGUCCGGAAUUACUGGGCUUAAAGAGUUCGUAGGCGGCGCAGAAAGUAGGGUGUGAAAGCCCUCGGCUCAACCGAGGAAUUGCGCUCUAAACUACUGUGCUUGAGGGACCUAGAGGUGAGCGGAACUGAUGGUGGAGCGGUGAAAUGCGUUGAUAUCAUCAGGAACACCGGAGGCGAAGGCGGCUCACUGGGGGUCUUCUGACGCUGAGGAACGAAAGCCAGGGGAGCGAACGGG
rnacentral:rRNA from 1 species